rnacentral:rRNA from 1 species
UACGUAGGGGGCAAGCGUUGUCCGGAAUCAUUGGGCGUAAAGAGCGUGUAGGCGGCUCGAUAAGUCUGCUGUGAAAUCCCACGGCUCAACCGUGGAAGUGCAUUCGAAACUGCAGGGCUAGAGUCCUGGAGAGGAAGGUGGAAUGCUUGGUGUAGAGGUGAAAUUCGUAGAUAUCAAGCGGAACACCGGUGGCGAAGGCGGCCUUCUGGACAGUGACUGACGCUGAGACGCGAAAGCGUGGGGAGCAAACAGG